CCUACGGGUGGCAGCAGUGGGGAAUAUUGGACAAUGGGGGCAACCCUGAUCCAGCCAUGCCGCGUGUGUGAAGAAGGCCCUCGGGUUGUAAAGCACUUUCAGUGAGGAAGAACGCCUGGUGGUUAAUACCCAUCAGGAAAGACAUCACUCACAGAAGAAGCACCGGCUAACUCCGUGCCAGCAGCCGCGGUAAUACGGAGGGUGCGAGCGUUUAUCGGAAUUACUGGGCGUAAAGCGCGCGUAGGUGGCUUGAUAAGCCGGUUGUGAAAGCCCCGGGCUCAACCUGGGAACGGCAUCCGGAACUGUCAAGCUAGAGUGCAGGAGAGGAAGGUAGAAUUCCCGGUGUAGCGGUGAAAUGCGUAGAGAUCGGGAGGAAUACCAGUGGCGAAGGCGGCCUUCUGGACUGACACUGACACUGAGGUGCGAAAGCGUGGGUAGCAAACAGGAUUAGAUACCCGUGUAGUC
rnacentral:rRNA from 1 species